rnacentral:rRNA from 1 species
GACGAACGCUGGCGGCGUGCUUAACACAUGCAAGUCGAACGGAAAGGCCUCUUUCGGGGGGUACUCGAGUGGCGAACGGGUGAGUAACACGUGAGUAACCUGCCCUUGACUUUGGGAUAACUUCAGGAAACUGGGGCUAAUACCGGAUAGGAGCUCCUGCUGCAUGGUGGGGGUUGGAAAGUUUCGGCGGUUGGGGAUGGACUCGCGGCUUAUCAGCUUGUUGGUGGGGUAGUGGCUUACCAAGGCUUUGACCGGUAGCCGGCCUGAGAGGGUGACCGGCCACAUUGGGACUGAGAUACGGCCCAGACUCCUACGGGAGGCAGCGGUGGGGAAUAUUGCACAAUGGGUGGAAGCCUGAUGCAGCAACGCCGUGUGCGGGAUGACGGCCUUCGGUUUGUAAACCGCUUUCGCUCAUGACGAAGCUUUGUGUGACGGUAGUGGGUAAAGAAGCACCGGCUAACUACGUG